GAGUUUGAUUAUGGCUCAGAAUGAACGCUGGCGGCGUGGAUAAGACAUGCAAGUCGAACGAAGAGAGAUUUAGUUUACUAAUGAUCUCUUAGUGGCGGACGGGUUAGUAACGCGUGAGCAACUUGCCUCAAAGAGGGGGAUAGUCCUGGGAAACUGGGUUUAAUACCGCAUGUGCUCUUCGGAGUAAAGCUGGCUUCGGCUGGUGCUUUGAGAUAGGCUCGCGUCCUAUCAGCUAGUUGGUGAGGUAACGGCUCACCAAGGCGACGACGGGUAGUUGGUCUGAGAGGACGAUCAGCAACACUGGAACUGAGACACGGUCCAGACACCUACGGGUGGCAGCAGUCGAGAAUCAUUCGCAAUGGGGGCAACCCUGAUGGUGCAACGCCGCGUGGAGGAUGAAGGCCCUAGGGUCGUAAACUCCUGUCAUAUGAGAGUAAGGCAUAUUAGUUAAUAGCUAGUAUGUUUGAUAGUAUCAUAAGAGGAAGGGACGGCUAACUUCGUGCCAGCAGCCGCGGUAAUACGAAGGUCCCGAGCGUUAUUCGGAAUCACUGGGCGUAAAGGGAGCGUAGGCUGCGCGGUAAGUCAGAUGUGAAAUCUCAGGGCUCAACCCUGAAACUGCAUCCGAUACUGCCGUGCUAGAGUAAUGGAGGGGUAACUGGAAUUCUCAGUGUAGCAGUGAAAUGCGUAGAUAUUGAGAGGAAGACCAACGGCGAAGGCAGGUUACUGGACAUUUACUGACGCUGAGGCUCGAAGGCUAGGGUAGCGAAAGGGAUUAGAUACCCCUGUAGUCCUAGCAGUAAACGAUGUGCGCUUGGUGUAGGUGGGUUCGACCCCAUCUGUGCCGGAGCUAACGCGUUAAGCGCACCGCCUGGGGAGUACGGUCGCAAAGACUAAAACU
rnacentral:rRNA from 1 species